AGUUAUAUAUUCCGAUAGGAAAUAUGUUUUGAAAACAUACCAAAGAGGCUGGUAUCCUCUAUUAACUU
rnacentral:tRNA from 1 species